AGCAGUGGCGAACGGGUGAGUAACACGUGAGUAACCUGCCUCAGACUCUGGAAUAAGCGCUGGAAACGGCGUCUAAUACCGGAUAUGACAUCAAACCGCAUGGUUAUGGUGUGGAAAGUUUUUCGGUCUGGGAUGGACUCGCGGCCUAUCAGCUUGUUGGUGAGGUAAUGGCUCACCAAGGCGAUGACGGGUAGCCGGCCUGAGAGGGCGAUCGGCCACACUGGGACUGAGACACGGCCCAGACUCCUACGGGAGGCAGCAGUGGGGAAUAUUGCACAAUGGGCGAAAGCCUGAUGCAGCGACGCCGCGUGAGGGAUGACGGCCUUCGGGUUGUAAACCUCUUUCAGCAGGGAAGAAGCGAAAGUGACGGUACCUGCAGAAGAAGCACCGGCUAACUACGUGCCAGCAGCCGCGGUAAUACGUAGGGUGCGAGCGUUGUCCGGAAUUAUUGGGCGUAAAGAGCUUGUAGGCGG
rnacentral:rRNA from 1 species